CCCUUCUCUCCUCCGUGACCAACCCCCCCCCGCCCCCUCCUAGCCGUUUCGCGCCGAAACCCCAAUCGCCGCCCAAAUGCCGCCGCCGGCGCCGCACGAGGAGUUCGAGGCCGCCGACGGCGAGGCAUACAAGUACGCAGAGCACGAGCCUAAGCUCGCCGAGUUCCUCUGCAGUUUCCACUCCGACGACCUCCGCCGCAUCCUCCUCCACCCCGAGUCCACGCUCCACUUCCCCCUCGUCAUCGACUUCGCGGAGCUCCUGGACUUCGACCCCGGCUUGGCCAAAAUACUCUACAACGACCCCAAGGGCUUCCUCCCCGCCUUCGACAUCGCCGCUCAGGGCGCCCAGAGCGAGGUGUUGCGCAUCCUCCGAAAGGGCGAGGCGUUGGGUAAUCCGGACGAGUUGAGGCCCGCUGCCGUGCAGAAGGGGUUCGUGCACGUGCGCGUCAACGUCUGCGGGUCGCCACUGGAAUUCCCUGAGUCGUCGCCGAGCAUAGGGAAGGUGAGGGUGAAGCAUAGGGGGAUUCUGCUGACAUUGAAGGGGACUGUGAUCAGAUCAGGCGGUGUGAAGAUGAUCGAGGGCGAGCGGGAGUAUCAAUGCAGGAAAUGCAACCACAGGUUUCCCUGCUAUCCUGAGCUAGAGGCUGGGAAUCGUAUAACUCUACCUGCAUCUUGCCCAUCCAUGAGAUCAAAAGGUUGUCAAAGUGCUUCUUUCCAAUUGAUAGGAGAUAGCAUAACCUGUCAUGAUUAUCAGGAAAUAAAAAUCCAAGAAAGCGUGCAACUUCUGGAUGUUGGGUCUAUACCCCGUUCCAUGCCUGUGAUUUUGAUGGAUGACCUUGUUGAUCUUGUUAAAGCUGGAGAUGAUGUCAUUGUUACGGGUAUAUUAUCUGCAAAGUGGUCCUCUGAUGUUAAGGAUGUGCGUUGCAACCUUGAUCCUAUGUUUAUUGCCAAUUAUGUGAGGAGAACUAAUGAGCUGAAGUCUGGUAUAGACAUCCCUGAGGAAAUUAUCAAGGAUUUUGAGCUUUUCUGGGCAGAAAACAGAGCUACUCCACUAGAAGGAAGAAAUAAAAUCUUGAAAGGCAUUUGUCCUCAGAUUUUUGGGUUAUUCACGGUAAAGCUUGCAGUUGCUCUUACAUUGAUUGGUGGAGUGCAGCAUGUUGAUCCUUCUGGAACAAAGGUUCGUGGCGAACCACAUAUGCUUCUUGUUGGUGAUCCAGGUACUGGUAAAUCCCAGUUUUUGAAGUUUGCUGCUAAAUUGAGCAACCGUUCUGUGAUUACAACUGGUCUUGGAAGUACCAGUGCUGGUUUGACUGUGACUGCUGUCAAGGAUGGAGGUGAGUGGAUGCUUGAGGCUGGUGCCCUUGUUCUGGCUGAUGGUGGUUUGUGCUGCAUAGACGAAUUUGAUAGUAUGCGAGAGCAUGACAGGACAACAAUACAUGAAGCCAUGGAACAACAAACAAUAAGCGUUGCAAAGGCUGGACUGGUGACAACACUCAGUACAAGGACUACUGUCUUUGGUGCCACUAAUCCAAAAGGACAAUAUGAUUCAAAUGAAUCCUUAUCCGUGAAUACAACACUUUCAGGACCAUUGCUGAGUAGAUUUGAUAUAGUUCUUGUUCUCUUGGAUAAAAAGAACCCUAAGUUGGAUGGUAUAAUUUCAUCUCAUAUAUUAGCUCAGAGCACCAAAGCAGAAGAAAACAAGGCCAGUGACGCUGCCGUAAAAAGCACCCAACCUUUGGGUAUAAAAGAGUGGACACUCCCCUGUUUGAGAAGGUAUAUCCACUAUGUAAAACAGCGGUUCAAACCGGUGCUGACAAAGGAAGCAGAAAGUGUUAUCUCAGGCUAUUAUCAGCUUCAGCGGAGAGAUGGAACACAUAAUGCAGCGAGGACAACUGUGCGUAUGCUUGAGAGUUUGAUAAGGCUGGCACAAGCACACGCAAGACUAAUGUUCAGAAAUGAGGUUACACGGCUUGAUGCUAUUGCUGCCAUAUUAUGCAUUGAGUCCUCCAUGACAACAUCUGCAAUCAUAGACGGUGAUGGAAAUGCUCUGAACUCCAAUUUCCAAGAGAACCCUGAUCAGGAAUAUAUCAAAGAGGAGCAGAAAAUCCGUGACAAGCUUGGGGAUUACCUAUACUAAUAUCUGAUGCAGCAAUACGGAGACCAAUGAGCAUACACGCAUAUCAUCUGCAGUUCUGCAUAGCAAUAUGAUUAGGUGAUCCACUCUGGUUUUGAAUCAUCAACUGCUAUGUGUCUUGGCAGUCAAUCACAAUUGAUAGGUUAGGAAGACUAAAUGAUACUUCCUCUGUAAACUAAUAUAAGAUCUUUUAGAUCACAGAGGGAGUACCAGCAUGUCCUGCAUACUGGCACAAGGCGUUAACGCCAAAUCUUUGUCAGUGAGUGGUUGAGCUUUUUUUAGCUUGUACAACGCAAGCUAAAAGAACAAAGUAAGAAUAGCUGCUUCUUGAGGAACAUGAUACUUUUGUCAGAUAUGCCAAAAACACAUGUAAUGAUGAUUGCUUACCACUCUGAUGAGGAUUACACAUUAUGAAUCUUCUCGCUCAAAUUGCAACAAACUGGCUCGUGAAAUCAGGCUAUUACUUCAUAUCAAUGUCAAUCUCGUUUGUUCUUACAUAAACGGAGUGCUAAAGUUUGAAGAUGUAUACUUCAUAUUGUUUUACACGUUGUCUUGUAAAUCUCUAACAAUUUGGUAGCGCUGACUCUUGUAAUUAAGCAAAAAAGCAAACCAUCUAUAUAUCAUUAGUGUUAGAAUCCACCGAGUCGUUAUUUUUCCUCAUUUUGUUCUUUCUCUUGUGGAUAUAUUUGCCACUCCCUUGAUUGAUGAACUAAAUAUAUUACUACUUGCUGCUGGA